rnacentral:rRNA from 1 species
AUCAAAAACACAGCACUGUGCUAAGUCGCAAGACGCCGUAUACAGUGUGACGCUUGCCCAAUGCCGGAAUGUCACGGAAGCGGGUUAGCUUCGGCGAAGCUCGUGACCUAAGCACCGGUCAAUGGCGGCCGUAACUAUGACGGUCCUAAGGUAGCGAAGUUCCUUGUCGGGUAAGUUCCGACGCGCAUGAAUAGUGUAAUGACUGGGACACUGUCUCCACAACCAACUCGGUGAAAUAGUAGUGGCGGUGAAGAUGCCGCCUACCCGCAGCAAGACGGAAAGACCCCGUGGACCUUUACUGCAGGCUUCUGUUGGUCACGAGCAUAUGAUGCGUAGGAUAGGUGGGAGGCUUUGAAGUGGUC